rnacentral:misc_RNA from 1 species
ACUCUUCAACCCACUAGUUUCUUGUAGACUAGCUGGUGUUUGGAUUUUGAAUGUUGCUGGUCUUCGGACGUAGCUCGUUCGUAAUACAUUAGCAUCUCUAUUCGAAUUCGGAUUGACUCAGUGUAAUAGACUAUUCGCUGAGGACACUUUUAUUAGUGGCCGAACAAGAUAAUUGUAGAAGCUUCAAACCUCUAUAGUCAAUUUUAG